UCAUCACGACCCAUGCUCAACGCUGCACAAGUCAUAACUGCUGAACCUCGGAAACGGCCUGUCUGUCCGCCCACAGAGGGAUGGACGGAGAAAAUGUGGCUUUCCCACACAGCGAGGCUUCUCUAGGUAAAUGGGUGCACCUGGAGAUCAUACUGUGAAGUGAAAGAAACCAAACACAUAACAAGUUAUGCUUCAUAACAGCAAAGUCAUCAAAAUCUGGGGAGAGGCUGGGAACGUCCGUUCUAAUAAAAUGGAAGGUGAAAACACGUGCCAGUCCCUUGCAGAAGGCGACACGUCUUUUGACUCCAGAAGCAGCGGAAGCGGGGUUUGUCAGCGCCUCCUGUGCACACAACACUCCAAACAAACUGCUCGAGGCUCCUGUCAGAUCAAAUGUGAAGAGAAGUCAGAAAGCAGAGUGUGUUCCGAGUUACUGAUCGAUGGGCGAUGAUCCGAAUUCUCUCCCCAAAAUGGGCAUAACCUACCUGGGAUUCCCUGUCUUCACAUCGCUGCAGCUGUGGCACCUGAGCGGCAGUACUUGGGGGCAGCAUUGCGCUGCUCCACUUCACCCAACAGCUUCAUCUUAGUCUCCACUGGGCCACUGGACUCAACAAAGAGACCCUUCCGGAGCCGUGGCGGCCUGUGAGCACAGGACUAAUCAAACACGAAGACUCAGAUGUCUAAGGUCUCUUUUUACACCGUUGGCAACAACCCUCAGGCGAGUCUUCCACGCCCAGAAUCAUCGCACUGACUCAGGUCAGCUGGGUGUUGCGAGUUGACCGUGAGCUCGUCCAGCCCAGCUGGGAGGAAGCUCGGCGCUCAGGAGUCGGCGAUGCAUCUGCUCUGCCACGAGGCCGGGCAGAGGCCGGGCAGUUCCUCGGGGGCCGCGGUCUCCAGAAAAAACAGCACCAGAAUGUACGACGGGCACGACAAGUAACAAGCCGAGAUGCCGUCUCAGUGAUAGCUGACAGUGGUUUGAUGUGUGUGAUAUGUAACGACCUUCGCACAUGGAGAACGAGGCAGAGGGUGAUUCCCCAGGUUUUGCAGAGUCAGACUUCUCAUAUAAUCCGUGAAGUCCAAAUUCUACUGUCACCUCAGCCAGAAGAAGCACCAGCCCCAGAGCUGGUCAGAGGCACCCACACCCUCUGCUCCUCUUCGCAGCCCUCAGGUUUGUUUACUGUGAACCCUGGAAGAGACAGUGUGUGGGAAGGAAAGGAAACCGUCACCCUUAGCCAUCUCAGAUAACGGAACAGAGAGGGCGAGGCCCUCUGUUCUCUGGAUCGCCUCAAAGGGUGGCCUCAGAUCCAAACUGGAAAAGCUGCUUUGACUCAGCCCCUCUUCUCCUGUUGAGCUCAGUGAGGCAAUGCCACUUAAAACUAAUUUUUUUCCUGUCUCUGCCUGUGAAAGCACAUCUGCAGAAUUAAAUUCCAUACACCUACAAGGAUGCUUUCAAAGGCUCGGAAUCAAUUCUUCAAUCAUUCACUUUCUUAGCUGUGAUUAAAAACAUGUGUCCCCUAAUUAAGCUAAUGAGAAACUGUUAAUUGGCACACAGCCUCCCCCCCCACCACACUUGUUAAUGUCACUGUCACUUUGACAGGAGAAAGGAUCAAAAUCAAGGGCAGAGAGUUUUUAAGUGACUUCAGUAUUGAACUCAAGGACCGGGGUGUUAUUUGUGAAAAGAGGGCUGUCAGUUCCAGGGCCUGGUGUGGAAAAAUAAGGAAUAUUUUCUCUGCUAAUUUCAUAAGAAAGCAGGAGGAAGAGAUGCGAUAGGGCAAAGGUUGAUUUAUUUUUCUCUUCCUCAAGAAAUAAUGGCAUCUGGCCAUCUCGUGUGCCUCCAAUAUAAUGACGCCUCGGCAUGGUAGGGCUCAGCAAAGUGGAAGUACACGGCUGCUGUGGAAACAGCAGGGAGGGUUUCCCAAGGGCCCCUCUCUCGGUAUCCUCUCGGUCUCCAGUAAGCGAUAUCCUCUUCCUACAACCAAG
rnacentral:lncRNA from 1 species